ACAGCUAUCAGAGGCGUUUGUGGACCGAGGACACUCGUCCAAUCAGGGUUCAGCUGCUGCUGUAAACAACUAGAUUCUACAGUAACGGUCAGGAGUCAACUGACUGCCAGUCAUGUGACCCUGUGCAGCUGGACGCUCUCGUGUUUCCUCUUAUGGUAUAGAUUUAAUAUGGCGCACUCUCGCAAACCAGACUGUUCAACCGUAAUUCACAGCUGUCGCCGUGGCAACGGUAAACAGAAAACAGAGUGUGCAACCUGAGUGUGUGUUUGCCCUUCUAGUGCUCUGCUCUGAGCUGAACGCUGUUCCCGACAGUGACCUGAACUUGGUUUAGGUUACUUCUGUUGAUCCAAGCUGUGACGGAAAGACCCACAGACAUGAAGGGAGAGUUUGUGUUCAUCUUUGGAUUACCGCAAACAAUUUCGCACGGAGCUUGACAAGAACAUGAAAAGGAUAAAGCUACAGAAACAAUGCCAAA